rnacentral:lncRNA from 10 species
UUUCCGUUUAGGUAAAAUGGAUAGAAUAAUAGUACUUACCUCAAAGGAUUGUUGAAGAGAAUCAACAAGAUGAUAUCCCUGAAGCACUGGGAAUAGUGUCUGGCACACAGCACUCUCCCAGGAGCACACCGCGGCGCUAGAGAAGACCAGGAAAAAGGACCUGAGCCAGCUUGCCGUCUUAACAAAAAUUUCAAACUUUGCAAAGCGGUAUACCUUCUUAUUCUCCAGUUCAGUAUUGCCAGUGAAGUCAUACUGAACGCAGACAAGGAAAAGAAAGAAAAAGAUGUUCAGCCUCAGAACGUAGCCACCUUGCUGUGAGAAAGCCCAACCAUCUUGUACAGCGAGACCACAUGGAGAGGCGCAUGUGGAAAGGAACGGAGGCUACAAGCCGAUAGCCAGCAUCGACUGCCAGGCACGGAGAGUGAGUCUUCAGAUGAAUCCAGCCUCAGCCUAGAGUCUUUUGUCUCAGGCCCCAGACACUGUGGAGCAGGGACAAGCCAUCCCCACUGUGUCCCACCCGCAUUCCUGAUCCACAGAAUCUAUGAGCACAAUAAAUAGUUGCUUUAUGGCAGAG